rnacentral:rRNA from 1 species
CCAGACAGCCAGGAUGUUGGCUUAGAAGCAGCCAUCAUUUAAAGAAAGCGUAAUAGCUCACUGGUCGAGUCGGCCUGCGCGGAAGAUGUAACGGGGCUAAACCAUGCACCGAAGCUGCGGCAGCGACGCUGUGCGUUGUUGGGUAGGGGAGCGUUCUGUAAGCCUGUGAAGGUGUGCUGUGAGGCAUGCUGGAGGUAUCAGAAGUGCGAAUGCUGACAUAAGUAACGAUAAAGCGGGUGAAAAGCCCGCUCGCCGGAAGACCAAGGGUUCCUGUCCAACGUUAAUCGGGGCAGGGUGAGUCGACCCCUAAGGCGAGGCCGAAAGGCGUAGUCGAUGGGAAACAGGUUAAUAUUCCUGUACUUGGUGUUACUGCGAAGGGGGGACGGAGAAGGCUAUGUUGGCCGGGCGACGGUUGUCCCGGUUUAAGCGUGUAGGCUGGUUUUCCAGGCAAAUCCGGAAAAUCAAGGCUGAGGCGUGAUGACGAGGCACUACGGUGCUGAAGCAACAAAUGCCCUGCUUCCAGGAAAAGCCUCUAAGCAUCAGGUAACAUCAAAUCGU